UACGUAGGUGGCAAGCGUUGUCCGGAUUUACUGGGCGUAAAGAGCGCGCAGGCGGUCGGAUAAGUCGGAUGUGAAAGCCCCCGGCUCAACUGGGGAGGGUCAUUCGAUACUGUUCGACUUGAAGGCAGGAGAGGGAAGUGGAAUUCCCGGUGUAGUGGUGAAAUGCGUAGAUAUCGGGAGGAACACCAGUGGCGAAGGCGACUUCCUGGCCUGUUCUUGACGCUGAGGCGCGAAAGCUAGGGGAGCAAACGGG
rnacentral:rRNA from 1 species